rnacentral:rRNA from 1 species
CCUACGGGAGGCAGCAGUGGGGAAUAUUGGACAAUGGGCGAAAGCCUGAUCCAGCCAUGCCGCGUGUGUGAAGAAGGCCUUCGGGUUGUAAAGCACUUUCAGUAGGGAAGAAAGCCUUGGGGCUAAUACCCUCGAGGAAGGACAUCACCCACAGAAGAAGCACCGGCUAACUCCGUGCCAGCAGCCGCGGUAAUACGGAGGGUGCGAGCGUUAAUCGGAAUUACUGGGCGUAAAGCGCGCGUAGGCGGUCUGAUAAGCCGGUUGUGAAAGCCCCGGGCUCAACCUGGGAACGGCAUCCGGAACUGUCAGGCUAGAGUGCAGGAGAGGAAGGUAGAAUUCCCGGUGUAGCGGUGAAAUGCGUAGAGAUCGGGAGGAAUACCAGUGGCGAAGGCGGCUUUCUGGACUGACACUGACGCUGAGGUGCGAAAGCGUGGGUAGCAAACAGGAUUAGAUACCCCGGUAGUC